rnacentral:rRNA from 1 species
GUGGGGAAUUUUGGACAAUGGGGGAAACCCUGAUCCAGCCAUGCCGCGUGUGCGAAGAAGGCCUUCGGGUUGUAAAGCACUUUCGGCCGGAACGAAAUCGCGCGGGUGAACAUCCCGCGUGGAUGACGGUACCGGAAGAAGAAGCACCGGCUAACUACGUGCCAGCAGCCGCGGUAAUACGUAGGGUGCGAGCGUUAAUCGGAAUUACUGGGCGUAAAGGGUGCGCAGGCGGUUCCGCAAGUCAGGCGUGAAAUCCCCGGGCUUAACCUGGGAAUGGCGCUUGAAACUACGGGACUAGAGUGUGGCAGAGGGAGGUGGAAUUCCACGUGUAGCGGUGAAAUGCGUAGAUAUGUGGAGGAACACCAAUGGCGAAGGCAGCCUCCUGGGUCAACACUGACGCUCAUGCACGAAAGCGUGGGGAGCAAACAGGAUUAGAUACCCCAGUAGUCC